rnacentral:rRNA from 1 species
GACGAACGCUGGCGGCGUGCUUAACACAUGCAAGUCGAACGGAGAGGCCUUUUCGGAGGUACUCGAGUGGCGAACGGGUGAGUAACACGUGGGUGAUCUGCCCUGCACUCUGGGAUAAGCCUGGGAAACUGGGUCUAAUACCGGAUAGGACCGCACUUUAGUGUGUGUGGUGGAAAGUUUUUUCGGUGUAGGAUGAGCCCGCGGCCUAUCAGCUUGUUGGUGGGGUAAUGGCCUACCAAGGCGGCGACGGGUAGCCGGACUGAGAGGUUGGUCGGCCACAUUGGGACUGAGAUACGGCCCAGACUCCUACGGGAGGCAGCAGUGGGGAAUAUUGCACAAUGGGCGCAAGCCUGAUGCAGCGACGCCGCGUGGGGGAUGACGGCCUUCGGGUUGGAAACUCCUUUCGCCAGGGACGAAGCGUUUUGUGACGGUACCUGGAGAAGAAGCACCGGCUAACUACGUG